rnacentral:lncRNA from 1 species
UGGCUGCGGCGAAGCCGGGAACCUGCGCCCCCUGCCGUCGCCCGGAGGUCUCUGCCAGCUCAUCUGAACCACAGGACAGGUUUAGUGCCGGCUCUCCCACGAUGGACACCAGUUUUGUGAUUUUUUACACUACACUAUCGUUUGUAAUGUUUAUAUACGCUGUUGUUUGUGUACACUACUGCUUGCAAUGUUUUAAAUAAUCCAGAGAAAAGGGUAAACGGAUACUCUGUGCGACUUGAGCUGCCGAGGCAGAGAAUUCGUUUAAUCCAACCCAAAAACGACACGUUGUAUAGAAUGGAAAACUAGGGAAACUUAUAUGCUUAGUAGUAGGGGAUUGGUUAAAAAAAAAUUAUAGUACGUGUGUGAUGGAAUAUUGUGCAACCAUCAAGAUGACCUAAAGUGAGCGAUUCACUCACUAGAGACUAGAGCAGAACAGGAUGGUAAUUAGGACAAUGUUCAAUUCUCACAGGACUGGAGAAGAGAUCCGGGAAUAAAUACCAGGAUGUGGAGAAAUUUAGUAUGAAAUUGUCAUUUUAAAUCAGGCAAAGACAGGUUAUCCAAUAAACGAUACUGGAACAGCUGAUGAGCCAUUUAGGAAAAAAAAAAAACUUUAAACCCUAUAUGGCUUAAGUAUUUAAAUUUAAGACGUUAAAAGAAAAUGUAAGUAAAUGUGUUCAUUAGAUUGAGAUUGUGAAAGCCUUCAAGGACAGCAACAUACAAAUCCUAAAGGGAAAUAUUCAUAGAUUUGGUAAUGUAAUUGUAACCAUAGUUAUAAUGGUUCCAUAAAAGUGCAGAUUUUUCUGCACAGAUUUUUAAACUCACCAUGCAUAGAGUUCUUUAAAAACACAAGUUGAGAGAAGACAAAGGAUUGGACUGGUAGCCCUAAUUUAAAAUGAACUCCUACAGAUCAAUAGGAAAAGCUCCCAUUGGAAGAAAACAGGGUGAAAGACCAACAGUUGUUUAAUUGGUACACAGUUUACAUUUGGGAAAAUACAAAAAAAUCAUGGAAUUGGGCAAUGGUAAGUGUUGCGGGACAGUGUGAACAUCCUUAAAGCAUACUGAACUGCACACUUCAAAACAGUUGUAAUGGUAAAUUUUGUGUAUUUUGCCACAGUAAAUUUUGAAAAUUUGUAGAUCUACCGUUUUCUCAUCGUGAACGUAUAACCCUUGCAUGCAGUUUGUGAAUUAGCUACUUCAAGUAAAUUUCAGUGCUUAUCUCCUAAGUAUUGCACUGAGAUCUGAAAGUAGAAGGGAAAGAAACGUUAAAAGAAGCUUAACCCUGUUCUCAGAGAUCUUCGGGUUUAACUUAAAGAGGCAUAUAUACUUUUGUAUCAUCUUUGUGAAUUACCAGAGAGCAGCCUAUUUCUAAUCGAGCCUGUAGGGGACUGCGAGGUGAUGUUUAGAUGUUCUUAAGUUUGGCUCAGAUGUGUUGGCUUACU